rnacentral:rRNA from 1 species
AUGCUGCGGAGGAAGAGACCUGUCUGGACGCUGGUGCUGCGGGUGGUCAUGGUGCUCGACCUACUUGGCCUCAUGGGUUCCUACGCAGCCGGGACCUGCCAUGACACCUUCGCCACCAUCUGGGCCGUGGCGCUGGCUUUCCCCGUCUUGGCCUAUAUCACGUUUGCUUUUGUCACCAGCCACCGCAGCGGCGGCGACCCAAGUACCAACACCAGAACCACAGCCACAGGCCGGCACGAAGAGAAGGAGAAGAUCGAGGUGCUGAUGCUGCUGGCGACCUUCGCCGUCACCAUCUCAUACGCCGCCGGGCUGAACCCGCCAGGCGGCUUCUGGACCAGCACCCUGCAGAAGGAUGGCCGCCUUCUUCACCUCGCCGGCGACCCGAUAAUGGAAGAUAGCGCGCUCCGCAGGUACCGGGCCUUCUUCGUCUGCAACACGACGGCGUUCGUCGCCUCCUUGUUCAUCAUCCCGCUCCUCCUGGACAAGAAAUUGAGCAGCAAAAUCUCAGCGCGGUUUCUGGCGGUCUACGGCUUCAUCGCCGUGGCCCUCCUGGGCCUCAUGGGGGCCUAUGCUGCUGGAAGCUGCAGGAAAACUGACAGUACCGUCAAGGUCAUCUUCUUGGCUGCUGCGGUUCCGGCUUGCGUAGGCCUUCAGCUGGCACUUAGUUAUGCCUUCAAUGUGAAACCAAUCGAGGUCAUGCGUGCUUCGUUCUCCGGAUGA